GUGUGCCUGCAAUUCCCUGGGCAAUACGGUAAUCACAAUCUAAAUCAUACUCAUCAUUACCAUUUUGCCAUCUUGUUUCAAACACUUAACCGUCAUUUAAAAACACAUUUUUGUUAAAUAGCAGUAGAUGUGCAUCUGGCCUUCAUGUUCCAUGCCUGCUGCCUGAUGCACAGUUAUCCAGGCUAAUCUCUCUCCAGCGGGAAGCAUCUGCUCUCUCCACAUAUAAAAAAAGCAUUCCUAUACUGAGCAGGGCCUUUUCAGGACCUGAUCCACUCUGUUGAUCUUCCCUCAGAUUGUUGUAGGCAGAGAGACGGGUGUUGAGCUUCAGUCCAGGAUAAGGGGACAAAGCCACACGUCUCUGCGUGGGCCUCAGUGUGAGUGUGAGGUAAUUGAGGUUGCGGUGGUCAUCACAGUCGGCUGACUUGUAUUCCACAGGGUGGCUCUGCGGCCGGGCUUAGCCCAGGCACACAAACACAAGGCCACGGCCCCCUGCUGGGAGGAACGGAAUUAAGGCCCCUUCACCUCUACCAGCAAUAAAUAAAUAACACGUCUGUGCUUCGUCCACAAGUCUGAAAUCAAGUCAGGUGUCAUUCAGCAGAAGAGCAGAGCAGAAUGGAUUUGCGGGAGCCUCUCCUUUAGGCGGUUAGAUUGAAUCACCCUCCUGUGCUCUGGACCGGAUUGGUUGAUCUGACCCUGCUUACCUGGAACAGGAGAGCGCGAGGAGCCCCUCAGGUCCUGAGCCACAAACCCAGCGCAGUGGGCGUGGUCUGCCACGCGAUUUCCUCCUCCUUCACCUCUGGGGUGUCAGCUCAUCCCCAUUCCUUCUUUCUGGUUCUCUGUUCUCUGCCUUUUAAUUCCGGGCAGAUCACCCACGCUGUGUGUGGCAGUUAACCCUCCUCUGUGCCACAGGAAGUGGAACACACCUGCAUCCUGGGUAAUAACGGCCCGGGCCCUUAUUCAGCCAAUGGGAGCCGUUUAGGAUGCGCGGGAGUGCAUGUGGGACUCUGCUCUACACCUCGUUCAGCCAUCAGUGAGGGUGCUGUGGAUGGCCCGUCCUCCUGCCUGCGUUGAUAGAUCUGCUCAGAUUUCACGCCCUUGACACACAGUCUUCAGCCCCAGGUGAAUAUUCCAGGACGGUGUCAGCUGGUUGAGUGUGUGUUCACUGCCAGUGUCGGGACACCUGAGAGCAAACUGCAUGCCCCCCCUCACCAGGUAGAGACUUGUCCCUCCCCAGGUUGAGUCCUGCCCCUCCUGCAGUGAGUUUAUCGCCUGCGCUGUGCAUGCAUGCAUGCAUGCAUGCGCUGUCCUGGUCACGUCCAGAGAGCUGACAUGUGAAGUGAGGAGGUCGCAUGGCACAUUCAGGGCGUGUGGAUAAGCAGAGCAGAAAGCCAUUGUCCACCGGCGUGUGAGCCAGAACACAGGAAACACAUUUACAGGGAGGUCCAUUACGGAGCUGAACCCGCAGCCCCCCCCAGCAGCAUGUCCCUGUGGUUGAGAGAGAGGUGGCCCAUAUUGUGCACUUAUCUUUGUGUGACAGACGCAUGUGCCUCGGAUAAGGGAAGAAUGGCUAUGGAUUUGUAGAGAUUUCUGCCUUUGUGGUUUUUAUUUUUAUCAUUAUUGCUAUUUUUAAUUUAUUGUGGGUAUUUUAUUGCUUCUUGUAAUCACACACAAAAAGCAGUCCAAGGUUGGCUCAGUUCAAAUGUUGCGUUUUGGUGAUUUAUAAAAAUUUGGCCAUUAAUAUCAAUAAAAUAGUUUCUUUUUGCGGUUAGAAAAUGGAUGGAUGGAUGGAUGGAUGGAUAGUUAUUUUUAUUUUUAUUUAUUAAUUUAUUUAUUUAUUUAACGUCCAGACGCACUGCAGGAGGAUAAGAGGAGAAUUUGUCUUCUCUUUUCAGUGGGUCACAUAUGUUUUUGUACUUUUAUGUGAUUCAUGUUGCCGUUGCUUUCAGGUUGUUUGUCUUUGCUUCCUCCUUUUAUUUUGAUUCUGGAAACCCUCCCGCCCUGUUGGGGGUUUCAUUCUGUUUCAUUUCAGGCUGAGCAGCACUGAACAUUUCACUCCCAAAUUACAGAAUUAAUUUGUGCUCACAGCCGGAAUCUACUGGAAACUGCAUUAUUUACCUGCUUAAAUGUACCACCGUUGGGUGAGAAUCAUAUUCAUUUACAUAAACCUAGUUAUUAUUCAUCUGUACACAACGACUUUCUCAGGAACAAUUUUCAUAAGGGCGGCACAACCCUAUCUGAAUUUGAUUUGAAAACAUAUUCAUCUAGAAAUUAUAAAAUUUCAGAAGAUAGAAUGCAACAUAGAAUUCUAUAAUUAUGUUUAUAUCAUAAGAGCUAUUCCAGAAAACGAAUAUAUAAAAAUGAGUUCUUUCUCUCUUUCUUUCUUUCUUUCUUGUCCCCCUUCCCUUUAUUUUACUGCAUGACCUCAGCUGAAGAAAGGAGACGUGAGAAAUGAGUUUGUUUGUUUUUUGUGCGUCACUCAUCUUAUCUGUGUCCUGGGGGGGAGAAGGUGUUUAUCAGAACAGGGAGGUGAAGCAUGUCCGAUAUGGGGCUCCUCUGUUAUCCUCAGUGAAAGACCCUGAUCGCCUGUGAUCCAUCACUGAUCACUGACGUGUGUGUGUGUGUGUGUGUGUUUUUGUGAGUAUGUGUGUUGGGGUGAGGUUUCAACAUUUUGUAGUCUGUUUGUCCCAACGGCACCAUCACCACACCUUUCAUAGAAUGUAUACAUCACUGGAACAAACAGUAAAAACAAAAACACAUUUGAUGUAGAAUUAUUACUUUUAUUAUUUAAACUUUGUUGUCGCCAAGUUUGACAGGAAGCCUUGGAAUUAUCCUCACAGCCUGACGAGAGAGAAACAUCUCAAAGGAAGAUAAUGCCUGCUGGCUUCUCUGGCUUCAAGUCCAAUGUGGUUCCCAUUCCAAACAUUCAACAUAGUGUCCCCAGCAGAGCGAUGGGAUGUUAUAUAAUCCCACUGAGGGCGCAGUAGGGUUCAGCUCCAUCGUUACUGGCAUUAGCUAUGUCCAUGUCUGUAAGCGGGUGCUGUCAUUGGUCCUGGAUACCAGAGAUGCUGAACGGACAGCACUCUAGCCACAGAAGCAGCCCUUCAUUUCAGGGUUUCAAUGCUGCUAACGAAUUAGCUGGUUUGCUGGCUAACGCACUACACAUUUGCACAAUAUGCUCUCUACAAAAAUCCAUUGGUGGCUGGUAUUUUCUGCCAGAUGCAGUCUCUUUUGUAGAUAUUCUGAAACUAUUUACAAAAAAUAUUUUUUGACAAAUUUAAAUAAUUUUUCAUCUUACCUGAAUACCUUCGCUGUGAGAGAGGGCUGUUUAUUAACAGAACUUUAUUGCGGCUGAUUUUACGUGGAACAUUUUGCUGUGCGUAUUCAGAUUGCAAAUGAUAAUGACACUAAGAGAAUCUACUGUUUAUAUCUGUUUCCUCUCAGAGUGCAUAUGCUGCUGAUGGUAUUCAAUUUAAUGUUCCAUUCUGAUGGUUAGAUUGGGUUUCUGAGAGGAGGUGUUUGCAGGCGCUGGUAUCAUUUCAGGUAUAAUAUUUAUAUUAAGUUUUUAUUCGUGUGUCUUUUCUACCUUCAAGUUCUGGUUCAAAAAUUGCCUCAGUAUGUCAUGUAAAUAUAGUCGUCAAAUAUGUUUAAUAAAUCAAAUGCAUGUCACCAAUGUUGAGUUAUCCAUGAGAACUCCCCUCUUCACCCAUUCAAAGCAAUUCUUCCCCAGCAGUCACAGAAAUUAUAAGGUCUCUGUUUGGGAGAAACAUGUCCCCUAGCAGUGUUUGUGCGGCCCGCGGGUCUGUUUGUUCUGCCUGACCCAUAGAGGAAGAGAUGGCUCUUGUGAGUCACCCGGCUUGGAGAGGAGAGAACAGUGAGGCAGAAUUUCAGCAUGGAUAAGUAAGUGAAGUACAAAUGAGGAUUUAUUUACAAGAAAUCAACAGUGCGUUUUUGAAAUGUGUGUUAUUUGUUAAGGUGUUGACAGAGCUCACCUCACAGGAGUCACUAGCGCUGGACUCACAGACGCUCGGGAUGCCGUGCCACAGCAGCUGGAAGGACACGGUGACUCUGAUCCUGUGAAAUAUUUUUAUUAUCGUUUAUGAGAACAGCUGGCCAGCUCCAGGCUCUUAAAUCGGACAAUGACAUAUCAUUUUUGAGAGCAACAGGGUGACUGAGGUUCCAUAAAAUAAACCUUGUGACUCAUU